rnacentral:rRNA from 1 species
UACGGAGGGUGCGAGCGUUGUCCGGAAUCACUGGGCGUAAAGGGCGCGUAGGCGGCCUGAUAAGUAGGGGGUGAAAUCCUGCGGCUUAACCGCAGGGCUGCCUUCUAAACUGUCAGGCUGGAGCACAGUAGAGGCAGGUGGAAUUCCUGGUGUAGCGGUGAAAUGCGCGGAUAUCAGGAGGAACACCGGUGGCGAAGGCGGUUCUCUGGGCCUUACCUGACGCUGAGGAGCGAAAGCGUGGGGAGCAAACAGG